rnacentral:rRNA from 1 species
GCGCACCAGGCGCGAAUCCUUCGCAAUGCAGGAAACUGCGACGAGGGAACUCCAAGUGCCUACGCUCAGCGUAGGCUGUUCUCAAGCCUAGAAAGCUUGAGGAGUAAGGGCUGGGUAAGACGGGUGCCAUCUGGUGGUAGCAGUCAAUAGAUUCGAUUUGUUACUGCAAGGCAUAAGCCGCCGCGGUAAUACCCGCAGCCCAAGUGGUGGCCGCUUUUAUUGGGCCUAAAGCGUCCGUAGCCGGGCCCGGUAAAUGCCUGGGGUAAAUCGUGGAGCCCAACUUCACGAAUUCCGGGUAGACUGCCGAG